UACGGGGGGGGCAAGCGUUGUUCGGAAUUACUGGGCGUAAAGCGUGCGCAGGCGGUUUUGUAAGUCUGUCGUGAAAUCCCCGGGCUCAACCUGGGAAUUGCGAUGGAGACUGCAAGGCUAGAAUCUGGCAGAGGGGGGUAGAAUUCCACGUGUAGCAGUGAAAUGCGUAGAGAUGUGGAGGAACACCGAUGGCGAAGGCGGCAUCCUGGACCGACACUGACGCUGAUGCGCGAAAGCCAGGGGAGCAAACGGG
rnacentral:rRNA from 1 species